rnacentral:lncRNA from 1 species
AUUACCCCCUUAGCUGGUGUCGCCACCACCUUCCAGCAGACGCAGAGAGGAGGAGGGAGGAGUGGGGUGGUCGGAUGGGUGAUGGGUGCCCAGCAGUACUGAAAGCCUUCCUGAUCCGCAUCUUAGAGUCCAUGCAAGAUGUAGAAGUGUCUGCUGAGUACCCACUGUGCACAGAUCAUUGAGCCAGUGCUGAAGAUGUAAGGGAUUCUAGGAAACCACUGAAUAACCAGAGGAAUGAGUACUACCAGAGAUUAGUGUUCACCUCUUGCCUCUGCCAGGUGGUGCCUCUGAUUAUGAGCACACCCUAGAGUUCGCCCGAAGUGCAGUGUGGAGGGAGGAUUCCUGAAUUUGGAGGCCUCAGUGGGAGCAGAUAGACCCAAGAGGAGACAAACUAGGAGUCCAGUCAAGCCACUGGAGGCCCAGAGGAUCUUGCAAGGACAGCAGACAUGUGGUUUAGAGGAACAAAGGGCAGGCAGGCAGCAGAGUCCAGCAGUAGCUGAGACAGUGGUACAAGGGAGGCUGACUAAUUUAUAGCACCCCAUGGUCCCCAAGUGCUGAUUGUGGUCCCAGAGGAGCCAGAGACCAGCAGGGAGGUUGUUCAGAUCCGAGAGUUCCUUGAUUGGAAAAAGGGGGCGAAAGAGGAGAAAGAGAAGGCAGCACUAAAAGGAAGAGGAUGGGACUGAGCUGGAGGCUCCUCUGAAACCCAGCCUGAGGGAGGCAGACACCAAAGCUCACCACAGAACUCCUUAGCCUGCUCAGUGGCCUGAAGCUUGCUCCAGAAGAGGCCCAAGGAAGAGAGAGGAAAGAGGAUAAGGGGCUGGGGACAGAGAAUAGAACUCCUGAGGGCUGAUACCAAGAACUUGUUUGCUUUUUUCUCCCCAAGGGGACUUCAGGUAAGGCUGGCGUUUAGAGUAAGAAGCAAAGUGGUCCGGAUGGGCAAGUUCCACUAUGCUAUCUGGGAGAGGAGGACUCUUUUGUGUGUGAUGUGCCCAGGAGUACUGCAGAAUCAAUAACCACGGACUCCUCUGAACCUCCGAGACAUAAGCCAUUCCUGUUGUUUGAGGUACCAUGGGCCAUAACGAUGGGCAGAAGGGGCAACCUCUUUAAAACCAUCAAGAGCAACUACGUA